rnacentral:rRNA from 1 species
AUUGAACGCUGGCGGCAGGCCUAAUACAUGCAAGUCGAGCGGAAGAAGGGAGCUUGCUCCUGGAUUCAGCGGCCGACGGGUGAGUAAUGCCUAGGAAUCUGCCUGGUAGUGGGGAUAACGUCCGGAAACGGGCGCCAAAACCGCAUACGUACUGAGGGAGAAAGCGGAGGAUUUUAUGACGUCACGCUAUCAGAUGAGCCUAGGUCGGAUUAGCUAGUUGGUGGGGUAAAGGCGUACCAAGGCGACGAUCCGUAACUGAUCUGAGAGGAUGAUCAGUCACACUGGAACUGAGACACGGUCCAAACUCCUACGGGAGGCAGCAGUGGGGAAUAUUGGACAAUGGGCGAAAGCCUGAUCCAGCCAUGCCGCGUGUGUGAAGAAGGUCUUCGGAUUGUAAAGCACUUUUAGUUGGGAAGAAGGUCAGUAAGUUAAUACCUUGCUGUUUUGACGUUACCAACAGAAAAAGCACCGGCUAACUUCGUG